UCAAACUUGGUCAUUUAGAGGAAGUAAAAGUCGUAACAAGGUUUCCGUAGGUGAACCUGCGGAAGGAUCAUCAUUGAAUUCCAAUUUUUUUUGCUUUGUUUUUGGCCAGUUGGCUGAACAAGCGAAAAAAACAAAAAACUUAACAUGCCUAGCGAAAAAAGAAAAAAAAAAGGAAUAACCUAUGUGCUCUUUUUGGGGAGAGAUGGGUUCUUUUCCUUUCUUUUUGGUGGUUGCCUGAUUGUUAGCAAAAAAGAUUGGGGAAAGCAUUCGAGAUACACGGUUGCUUGUGUUUUGUCUGCCCUACCCAACAGAAAAAAGAAUACAACUUUCAACAACGGAUCUCUUGGCUCUCACAUCGAUGAAGAACGCAGC
rnacentral:misc_RNA from 1 species